UACGUAGGGAGCAAGCGUUUGUCCGGAAUCAUUGGGCGUAAAGCGCGCGUAGGUGGCCUCAUAAGUCCGUUGUGAAAGUCAAAGGCUCAACCUUUGAAAGCCGAUGGAUACUGUGAGGCUAGAGUCCGGAAGAGGCGAGUGGAAUUCCUGGUGUAGCGGUGGAAUGCGCAGAUAUCAGGAGGAACACCAAUAGCGAAGGCAGCUCGCUGGGACGGUACUGACACUGAGGCGCGAAAGCGUGGGGAGCGAACAGG
rnacentral:rRNA from 1 species